rnacentral:lncRNA from 1 species
CGCCGAACAAUGAGACACUGCAACCCAAUCAAAAUGUUGGCCCCGUAUAUAACAUAAGAGAUGACUCACAAAAUACUGGCCUCAAUUUCACGUCUUUACGUUCAAAUUCAAGCGUCAAUAGCAGCAACUUUCAUAAACUGCCGAAAUUGAAUUUACCUACAUUUGAUGGAAACGUACUUGAAUGGCAAUCCUUUUGGGAUUCUUUUGAUUCCGCAAUUCACAACAACAAC